CUAAGGUCCCAAAGUGCGUGUUAAGUGGAAAAGGAUGUGGGAUUUCAAAGACAACCAGGAUGUUGGCUCAGAAGCAGCCAUACAUUCAAAGAGUGCGUAAUAGCUCACUGGUCGAGAGGUCCUGCGCCGAAAAUGUCCGGGGCUGAAACACGACACCGAAGCUGAGGAAUUCUAAGGAAUUGGUAGAGGAGCAUUGCAUAAGGGAAGAAGCAGUACCGAAAGGAGCUGUGGACUUUAUGGAAGAGAGAAUGCCGGAAUGAGUAGCGAGAGUAAGGUGAGAAUCCUUACGGCCGAAUAUCUAAGGUUUCCAGGGUAAAGCUGAUCUGCCCUGGGUAAGUCGGGACCUAAGGCGAGGUCGAAAGACGUAGUCGAUGGACAACAGGUUGAAAUUCCUGUACUGCGAUAUAACAGAACUGUGGGGACACGUGUGGAAAGCACAGCCCGGGAAUGGAAUCCCGGGGCAAGCGAGGUAGGAGUCUGGUAGGCAAAUCCGCCAGGCAAUCUGAAGACGUGAUGCGGACCGAAAAGAAGUAGGGAAGUGUGUGAGCCAUGCGUCGAGAAAAGCCGCUAUUGUUUAUAUCGUACCCGUACCGUAAACCGACACAGGUGGAUGAGGAGAGAAUCCUAAGGCCGACGGAAGAAGCAUUGUUAAGGAACUCGGCAAAAUGACCCCGUAACUUCGGGAGAAGGGGUGCCACAGAGAUGUGGCCGCAGAGAAUAGGCUCAAGCAACUGUUUAGCAAAAACACAGGUCUAUGCAAAACCGAAAGGUGAGGUAUAUGGGCUGACGCCUGCCCGGUGCUGGAAGGUUAAGAGGAGAGGUUAGCGCAAGCGAAGCUUUGAAUUUAAGCCCCAGUAAACGGCGGCCGUAACUAUAACGGUCCUAAGGUAGCGAAAUUCCUUGUCGGGUAAGUUCCGACCCGCACGAAAGGCGUAAUGAUUUGAGCGCUGUCUCGACAAUGCAUCCGGUGAAAUUGAAGUACCAGUGAAGAUGCUGGUUACCUGCGCCAGGACGGAAAGACCCCAUGGAGCUUUACUCCAGUUUGGUACUGGGAUCCGGUGCUGCAUGUACAGGAUAGGUGGGAGGCUGAGAAGGUGUGACGCCAGUCAUACCGGAGCCGCUGUUGGGAUACCACCCUUGCAGUAUUGGGUUUCUAACCAGCCGCCGUGACCCGGCGGUGGGACAAUGCCAGACGGGGAGUUUGACUGGGGCGGUCGCCUCCGAAAGGGUAUCGGAGGCGCCCAAAGGUUCCCUCAGAAUGGACGGAAACCAUUCGCAGAGUGCAAAGGCAGAAGGGAGCUUGACUGCGACACCGACGGGUGGAGCAGGUAC
rnacentral:rRNA from 1 species